rnacentral:rRNA from 1 species
GAUGAACGCUGGCGGCGUGCCUAAUACAUGCAAGUCGAGCGAACGGACGAGAAGCUUGCUUCUCUGAUGUUAGCGGCGGACGGGUGAGUAACACGUGGAUAACCUACCUAUAAGACUGGGAUAACUUCGGGAAACCGGAGCUAAUACCGGAUAAUAUUUUGAACCGCAUGGUUCAAAAGUGAAAGACGGUCUUGCUGUCACUUAUAGAUGGAUCCGCGCUGCAUUAGCUAGUUGGUAAGGUAACGGCUUACCAAGGCAACGAUGCAUAGCCGACCUGAGAGGGUGAUCGGCCACACUGGAACUGAGACACGGUCCAGACUCCUACGGGAGGCAGCAGUAGGGAAUCUUCCGCAAUGGGCGAAAGCCUGACGGAGCAACGCCGCGUGAGUGAUGAAGGUCUUCGGAUCGUAAAACUCUGUUAUUAGGGAAGAACAUAUGUGUAAGUACCUGUGCACAUCUUGACGGUACCUAAUCAGAAAGCCACGGCUAACUACGUG